GUAGGGAAUAUUGCGCAAUGGUCUGACGACUGACGCAGCAACGCCGCGUGGGUGAUGACGCUCCAAGGAGUGUAAAGCCCUGUUAGGGGUGAAGAAAAGCCGGACGAUGAAUAAGCUUUCGGUUUGACGGUAGCCCCAGAGAAAGCACCGGCCAACUCCGUGCCAGCAGCCGCGGUAAUACGGGGGGUGCAAGCGUUGUCCGGAAUCACUGGGCGUAAAGGGUGUGUAGGCGGGGAGGUAAGUCAGACGUGAAAUCCAGCGGCUUAACCGUUGAAUUGCGUCUGAGACUGCUUCUCUUGAGUCACGCAAAGGUAAGUGGAAUUCCAGGUGUAGCGGUGAAAUGCUAAGAUAUCUGGAAGAACACCGGUAGCGAAGGCGGCUUACUGGGCGUUGACUGACGCUGAAACACGAAAGCGUGGGGAGCAAACAGGAUUAGAUACCCGAGUAGUCC
rnacentral:rRNA from 1 species